CAACCUACCCUCUUCGCGGCCGCCCGGGUCCUGAUUGGGCGCGGCCCGGGCUCCUCGGUGCUGAUUGGCGCUGCCAAGCACUCGUCACCGCUCCUUCCAGCCCCUUCGCGCAGCGUGCCGGGCCCCUGGCUAGCAAGGUGGCUCUCCUGCAAGGUACCGAGACAGUCUCCGAGGAUCGGAGUCUUAGCACUCAUCUCUCCGCGAACCCCACGUCGCUAGAGUGGGCCGUUGUGGCAUCCUUAGAGCUCAGGACACUUUCCAGAGAGUUACGUGGGCAGGUGGCCUGUCGUAGGCUGGAAAUGCGUAAGCCUCUUGGUAAAAGGGCAGCAGAAUGGAGUUACUUAGGGCAGAUGCCCCUUUUCGGCUAGUAGCUGUCGGACUCCCUUGACUCAAAGGUGACAGCGUGAGAAGGUAAACAGGUCUCCUGAAACCUACUUCGCACCACCCAUGAGCACCCUGGCUAAAUGACCUCGAAGGACAUUAAAUUAUUUUUCUGUAACCCAAAAAUGAAACUGUUCGAUGUCCAGUAGGAGAACCUUACACUAAAUUGUUUCCUUAAUUUUUUUAGUUAUAUUAAUACCUUAGGGACAAGAAAAAAAUAUUGUAAAAGGACAUCUUGAUAAAAAAGGAAUUGUGCUCAUUCCAAGAUAAUGCAUUUAGAAAUUUUACUCUUACUGUAGCUAUUUGAGCAGUUGUAGAUGUUCUUAAUAAAAAGUGUUUCUCCAAAAGAGAAAAAAAUUAA